rnacentral:rRNA from 1 species
CAAUAGCGUAUAUUAAAGUUGUUGCGGUUAAAAAGCUCGUAGUUGGAUUUCUGCUGAGAACGACCGGUCCGCCCAUUGGGUGUGUAUCUGGCUCUUUCUUGGCAUCUUCUUGGUGAACGUUACUGCACUUGACUGUGUGGAGCGCUACCCAGGACUUUUACUUUGAGGAAAUUAGAGUGUUUCAAGCAGGCAUACGCCUUGAAUACGUUAGCAUGGAAUAAUAAGAUAGGACCUCGGUUCUAUUUUGUUGGUUUCUAGAGCUGAGGUAAUGAUUAAUAGGGAUAGUUGGGGGCAUUCGUAUUUAACUGUCAGAGGUGAAAUUCUUGGAUUUACGGAAGACGAACAACUGCGAAAGCAUUUGCCAAGGAUGUUUUCAUUAA